UUUAUUUGCACACCCUUCAUUGUAUACAGGAAAAUUUUCAUUUUUACCAGAUACGUUUGUAAUUGUAAUAGCCAUAUGUAACUUACACAGGAUGACGAAAUAAUGAUGAGGUGCAAGCUAGUGCACAAAACGUUUUUGGUUUGGUAAAUAUGUGGGCUAUGGCAGGGCCGGGGUACAACCCACUCUCGCUAAUACCAGAUCAGUCGCUACACUGUUGAUAUACAAGUUCGUUCAGUAUGCAUUUUAUGUGGACGUAGUGUUUUAUUAUGGUGUUUGAAAGUUCAGUGCUUAUCGUAAUUUACAGAGAACACGGUUUUACAGACUGUGAGUGAAUGUUCAGACUAAAAAAUUCAAGCCACAUUAAAUUUUGCAACCUCCCGCCCCCCAAAAAAGUUAUGAACACAACGUCUGAGUGCAUUUUUAAGGCCUAGAAUUGUCACCAUGAGUGAUCCGAGUUUGCCACAAGUUUUUCAAAUUGACGAUAGCGAUGACGACCUUAACGCCUUUUUCUCCACUUUUUCACUUCCUGAAAUUAACAGCCAAAGCUCUCCAGACCGGAGAGAUCAGUGUAUCACAGAUCCUGAAAGGCUAGGAAAGACAAUAGACCCACAAAAUACGAACAAAGUCGCUGAACAAGGACAGCCUAAUGUUGCGCCUAGUGUGGUAGAGCCCAUGGUCGAGCCAGCUCAAUUUCCAUAUCUUGAUAACAGCAUCGUAAUAGUGACCCCACAAGUCCCAGCAAACCAGCCAUUGGUCAGCAGUUCUGGAGGCAAUGCAGAAGAAUCUUCGGAUUCUGUACUGAUACCUUCGCCUGAUGCUUCCGAGACCGGCGACGAGGAACUGGAGGCGACCCCGGAAGAUGCAGCGUCAGCAGGUCACGCUUCAGUCCGUCGAAGGAAAGAAUGUCUGUGGGAAAGGACAGAGCCCUUCGACGAUCCAGUGAAGGAGAAGAAAAGGAAGAAUGCCAUCAAAGCCAAAAAUAACCGCAUCAAGAGAAGGGCCGAAAACCAAGGUCUGAAGCUGAGAGCUGAACAGGUUGAAAGAAGCCUCAGAGUGAUGAAGGAGGCUCUUGAUAAGGAACGAAUGAAGAAUGCCCAUCAAUCAAAGGAAAUCCAAAGUCUCAAGGAACUUCUGCGGGCGGUACUUGGUGGUCAACGAUUUCAAGUGAGCUACGUACAAAAUGGCGAAUCCAGGAAUUAGGAAAGGGAGGGGGUGCCCGCUGUUUGCUAAGUAAGGGACCGGCGUGAGCGGUAGUAAGUUUUGGUACUUUUAUAGUGGUUAUAUUGAAAACCUGUUACCGAUAAUUCUCGUUAGAUCGAAACCAGUUACAGAACUCUACUGAUUGAUUGAAAUUGGGCCAUAUAAUGCACUCCCGUUUCAAUAGUUAGAGAAUGUACCUAUUGAUCAACACUGAAAUAUAGAUCAUUCGUACCAUUCUUUACCACAAAUGUUAAAUUUUCUGCUAUACUUGCAUCAGUGGCAUACUAGUAGUUAAGCAAAUAAGGCAAUGUACGUAAUUUACCAGUAAAGUAAAUAGAAAACUACAUAUUUGCCACAGUUAAGUGGUGACUUAUUUAGUUCACAUGUUUCACAAACGAUAAACUGAGUAAAGCAUUUAUCAUGUUAACAUUCUAGGCUCCAUUCUUCUUUCAUUUCUUUCCACAUUUGCCUCCUGUUCUCUUCUUCCUUUCUCUUAUUCUUAUUCCCUCUCAGCCCGUCGCUUCAUCGUUCAUUUGUAUUUUCUGUUUUACACUUGAUUUCUGAAAAUCUGUUCUUUGUACUAUGUAUACUAAUGCUGCAACAGCACAAGAACAACAAUUACUACCACUGUUAUUAUUAUUAUUAUUAUUAUUAUUAUUAUUAUUAUUAUUAUAAGCUUCGAUUUUUCCUGACAUUGAUGUUUGAUAAUAAUCCGCUCUUAGGGGCGCCAUUCACAGCCGAAGGGGGACGGCCACCGCAACCAUCCCCCCCUCCCCCACUAAAUCCGCCACUGUACGUAAAUGGUGAACCAACAAAGCCCUCAAAAAUAGGCAAUGGUUGAAUGUUAUUUUAAGAAGAAAAGUAUGGAUUUGUUAUAACUGGACAUAACCUCAGCAGUCGGUGAAAAACAUUAUUGUGAACCAUCACAGAAAAUAAUGAGAUGACUAUAUUUCUGGUAAACAGUAUUAUUCUUUGCCAUUUUCCUACAAAAAAUAUAUAUCGAUGAAAUUGCAGAAUAUACAAGAUGCUUUGAAAGACUUGGAACAUUUCAAGAAAAUAAAAUAUUUCUAGAA